rnacentral:rRNA from 1 species
UACAUGCAGUCGAGCGGACCGACGGGAGCUUGCUCCCUUAGGUCAGCGGCGGACGGGUGAGUAACACGUGGGUAACCUGCCUGUAAGACUGGGAUAACUCCGGGAAACCGGGGCUAAUACCGGAUGCUUGAUUGAACCGCAUGGUUCAAUCAUAAAAGGCGGCUUCGGCUGCCGUUUACAGAUGGACCCGCGGCGCAUUAGCUAGUUGGUGAGGUAACGGCUCACCAAGGCGACGAUGCGUAGCCGACCUGAGAGGGUGAUCGGCCACACUGGGACUGAGACACGGCCCAGACUCCUACGGGAGGCAGCAGUAGGGAAUCUUCCGCAAUGGACGAAAGUCUGACGGAGCAACGCCGCGUGAGUGAUGAAGGUUUUCGGAUCGUAAAGCUCUGUUGUUAGGGAAGAACAAGUACCGUUCGAAUAGGGCGGUACCUUGACGGUACCUAACCAGAAAGCCACGGCUAACUACGUGCCAGCAGCCGCGGUAAUACGUAGGUGGCAAGCGUUGUCCGGAAUUAUUGGGCGUAAAGCGCGCGCAGGCGGUUUCUUAAGUCUGAUGUGAAAGCCCCCGGCUCAACCGGGGAGGGUCAUUGGAAACUGGGGAACUUGAGUGCAGAAGAGGAGAGUGGAAUUCCACGUGUAGCGGUGAAAUGCGUAGAGAUGUGGAGGAACACCAGUGGCGAAGGCGACUCUCUGGUCUGUAACUGACGCUGAGGCGCGAAAGCG